rnacentral:rRNA from 1 species
GACGAACGCUGGCGGCGUGCCUAAUACAUGCAAGUAGAACGCACAGUUUAUACCGUAGCUUGCUACACCAUAAACUGUGAGUUGCGAACGGGUGAGUAACGCGUAGGUAACCUGCCUGGUAGCGGGGGAUAACUAUUGGAAACGAUAGCUAAUACCGCAUAAUAUUGAUUAUUGCAUGAUAAUUGAUUGAAAGAUGCUAUUGCAUCACUACCAGAUGGACCUGCGUUGUAUUAGCUAGUAGGUGAGGUAACGGCUCACCUAGGCGACGAUACAUAGCCGACCUAAGAGGGUGAUCGGCCACACUGGGACUGAGACACGGCCCAGACUCCUACGGGAGGCAGCAGUAGGGAAUCUUCGGCAAUGGACGAAAGUCUGACCGAGCAACGCCGCGUGAGUGAAGAAGGGUUUCGGAUCGUAAAGCUCGGUUGUAAGAGAAGAACGGGUGUGAGAGUGGAAAGUUCACACUGUGACGGUAUCUGACCAGAAAGGGACGGCUAACUACGUG